AUUGAACGCUGGCGGCGUGCCUAACACAUGCAAGUCGAGCGGUAACAGGUGUAGCAAUACAUGCUGACGAGCGGCGGACGGGUGAGCAAUAUUUGGGAAUCUGCCUAUUGGUGGGGGAUAACCCGGGGAAACUCGGGCUAAUACCGCAUACGCACUACGGUGGAAAGCCGGGGACCGCAAGGCCUGGCGCUAAUAGAUGAGCCCAAAUCGGAUUAGCUAGUUGGUGAGGUAACGGCUCACCAAGGCGACGAUCCGUAGCUGGUUUGAGAGAACGACCAGCCACACCGGAACUGAGACACGGUCCGGACUCCUACGGGAGGCAGCAGUGGGGAAUAUUGGACAAUGGGCGAAAGCCUGAUCCAGCGACGCCGCGUGGGUGAAGAAGGCCUGCGGGUUGUAAAGCCCUUUCGGUUGGGAAGAAAAGUAUUGACCUAACACGUCAGUACCUUGACGUAACCAACAAAAGAAGCACCGGCUAACUCUGUGCCAGCAGCCGCAGUAA
rnacentral:rRNA from 1 species